UACGUAGGUGGCAAGCGUUGUCCGGAAUUAUUGGGCGUAAAGCGCGCGCAGGCGGUCCCUUAAGUCUGAUGUGAAAGCCCACGGCUCAACCGUGGAGGGUCAUUAGAAACUGGGGGACUUGAGUACAGAAGAGGAAAGCGGAAUUCCACGUGUAGCGGUGAAAUGCGUAGAGAUGUGGAGGAACACCAGUGGCGAAGGCAGCGCGCUGGGACGGUACUGACGCUGAGACGCGAAAGCGUGGGGAGCAAACAGG
rnacentral:rRNA from 1 species